rnacentral:rRNA from 1 species
AGAUUGAACGCUGGCGGCAUGCCUAACACAUGCAAGUCGAACGGGAGUAGCAAUACUCUAGUGGCGGACGGGUGAGGAAUACGUAGGAAUUUGCCCUUAAGUGGGGGAUAACCCGGGGAAACCCGGAUUAAUACCGCAUGACCUCGAAAGAGCAAAGUGGGGGAUCGCAAGACCUCACGCUUUUGGAGAAGCCUACGUCGGAUUAGCUAGUUGGUGAGGUAAUGGCUCACCAAGGCGACGAUCCGUAACUGGUCUGAGAGGAUGAUCAGUCACACCGGAACUGAGACACGGUCCGGACUCCUACGGGAGGCAGCAGGUGGGGAAUAUUGGACAAU